UUUUAAUUGAUAUCGCAUAAAUUAAAAAGUGGUGUACAGGUGAGUAUAAUGAUAUUCUUAGCCGACCUUAAAGUGAAGGUAAAUCCUUCAUAAUACAUAAAGGGAUAUGUAAUCCUGCUUUAAGAGGACAAUAAAUAUCUUCGGGAUAGGUAGUAGUUAAGGUGAUGGCUUAACUAGCCUAAAACUCUCGUAGUCGAAGCUGAAAGGUUGAUCGACCACAUUGGGUCUGAAAAAACCCCAAUGCAAGUUAGUACAGCAGUGAGGAAUCUUGGUCAAUGGCCUAACGGCUGAACUGGCAACUUGGAGAAGUGGCAAGUCUUACUUUGAUUAUAUUACUAUAUAUAAUCUAUAAGAUUGUAUUAAAAUUGAAUAAAGCUUUGUUUAUAUAUUGAUAAUGACAGUAUAUAUAUCGUGUCUUGACUAAUUACGUGCCAGCAGUCGCGGUAAUACGUAAGAGACUAGUGUUAUUCAUCUUAAUUAGGUUUAAAGGGUACCUAGACGGUCAAUAUAGCUUCUAUAAUGUUAGUACUUGACUAGAGUUUGAUAUAAGAGGGCAGUACUUGAGGAGGAGAGAUGAAAUUCUAUUAUACCAAAGGGACUCGGUAAAGGCGAAGGCAGCCCUCUAUGUAAAAACUGACGUUGAAGGACGAAGGCACAGAGAACAAACAGGAUUAGAUACCCAAGUAGUCUUUGCAGUAAAUGAUGAAUGCCAUAGAUUAGAUUGAGCUUUAAUAAAUUAGUUUAUCAGUAGUAAACUAACUAUUAAACAAUAUUUAGUCUAUAAAUGAAAGUGUAAGCAUUCCACCUCAAGAGUAAUGUGGCAACGCAGGAACUGAAAUCACUAGACCGUUUCUGACACCAGUAGUGAAGUAUGUUGUUUAAUUCGAUGAUCCACGAAAAACCUUACCACAAUUUGAAUAUUUUACAGGAGUUGCACGGCUGUUUUCAGUUAAUGUUGUGAAACUGUGGUUUCCAUGAAAUUAACGCAAUCCCUGGCUUUAUUUUUUUAAAGCGUAAGCUCUACGAUAAAGCAUUUGAUCCAGGAUUUGGAAAGAAAAAGGGGACAAAGACAAGUCAUCAUGGCCUGCUGAAUGAUCUAGGAAAUCAUGAUCGUGGGAUAAACUAUCAAACUCCGGGGACACCCUAAAGUUUCUGGUACUAAGCUAUAUAUGAAAAUAUACUAGUGGCUGAAGUAAUUACUCAGGUACAGUAACAAGCCAGAAAAUGAUUGAAAAAGAAAUGGGUUAUCGCGGAUCUAAGUCAAAUAAAGGUAAUACUUUAUUUGUAAAAGAGCAACGAGUAGACGGUAGUUAUGUUAAGAAAUUGACAUUAAGGUAUACUCUAACGGGUUUCGAAAGAAAUUAUCAAGUCAAAAUCCUUUCUAACCAAAUAAAUCAAAUAAGGACGUAUUCAGCCAAUAACAUUUCCCAGAAAAAAGAUGUUAUGGGUUUAAUUAAUCCUUGGUUCAUGACAGGUUUUACCGAUGCAGAAGGAACUUUCUCUAUAUCAAUUCAACAUAAUGAAAAUUAUGACACAAAUUGAAGAGUUAAGCCCGUAUUUGCUAUAGGAUUACAUUCUAAAGAUCUAGAUAUUUUAGAAAAUAUAAAAUAUUUUUGAAAAGUAGGUAAUAUACAUAAACAUGGUAAACAUUCUUUACAGUAUAGAGUUGAAUCUAUCAAAGACUUACAAGUAAUUAUAGAUCAUUUUGAUAGAUAUCCGCUUGUAACAUGUAAAAGAGUUGAUUAUGAUAUAUUUAAACAAGCUUUUAUUCUUAUAAAGGAAAGAAAACAUCUUAAAGAUCCAGGUCUUCUUAAAGUAGUAGGUUUAAAAUCAAUUCUUAAUUUAGGUUUAACUACUAAACUUAAACAAGAGUUCCCUACUUGAAAAGACAUUGAGGCAAAUAAACCUGAGUAUAUAUUUAAAGAUAUACCGAAUCCUCAAUGAAUGGCCGGAUUUUCUAGUGGAGAUAGUAGUUUUAAUAUUAAAAUAAGUAAAUCUUUAACUAGUAAGUUAAGCACAAGAGUUCAAUUAAGAUUUUCUAUAGAUUUACACAUAAGAGAAAAAGAGUUAAUUAAUUUUUGUGUUAAAUUCUUUAAUUUAACUGAAGAUAAGUAUGUUUAUUUAAAAAGUAACUCUGUUAGUUUACAAAUAACUAAUUUAAAAGAUAUUAGUAAUGUAAUUAUACCUUUCUUUAAAAAGUACCCUAUUAAAGGUAAGAAAAGUUUAGAUUUUAUAGAAUUUGAUAAAGUUGUGACAAUGGUGAACAAUAAGCAACAUCUAACUCAAGAAGGGUUAGAUCAAAUAUUAACUAUUAAAUCUAGUAUGAAUCAAUAAAUUUAUUUGAUUUAUUUGUAUGAUAAAUUUGAUCGCUGUGUGAUAUUGUGGGCUAUAGACGUGCCACAUAUUCCUACACAAAGAGAUGCAAAAAUGUGAAUUUAAGCUAAUCUCUAAAAAUAGGAUAUAAAUUUUAAGGAUUGUAGUCUGAAACUCGACUACAUGAAUAAGUAAUUACUAGUAAUCGUGAAUCACCAUGUCACGGUGAAUUAACCUUGGAUUGGUACUAACCACUCGUCACAUGCUGAAAAGAGUAUGCGCAAUAAGUUUGCUUUUUCAAUGAUUAGUAAAAAUAACAAGCAGGUUUUAUAUUCUAUUAUUGGAAAUCUUCGUAUGCGUGACUCUAAUUAGUGUUAAGUCGAAAUACGGUUCGUGUAGUGGAAGUUGCACGGGAUUAAUUAAUUUUA
rnacentral:rRNA from 1 species